ACCGGCGCACGGGUGAGUAACACGUAUGCAACCUGCCCCUGUCAGGGGGACAACCCGCCGAAAGGCGGGCUAAACCCGCGUACAUGCCACCGGGGCAUCCCGGAGGCAGGAAAGGCUUCGGCCGGACAGGGAUGGGCAUGCGGCGCAUUAGGCAGUAGGCGGGGUAACGGCCCACCUAACCGACGAUGCGUAGGGGUUCUGAGAGGAAGGUCCCCCACACUGGUACUGAGACACGGACCAGACUCCUACGGGAGGCAGCAGUGAGGAAUAUUGGUCAAUGGUCGGGAGACUGAACCAGCCAAGCCGCGUGAGGGAUGAAGGUACAGAGUAUCGUAAACCUCUUUUGUCAGGGAACAAAGGCGGGGACGUGUCCCCGGAUGAGUGUACCUGAAGAAAAAGCAUCGGCUAACUCCGUGCCAGCAGCCGCGGUAAUACGGAGGAUGCGAGCGUUAUCCGGAUUUAUUGGGUUUAAAGGGUGCGCAGGCGGUCUGUUAAGUCAGCGGUCAAAGCCCGGGGCUCAACCCCGGCCCGCCGUUGAAACUGGCAGUCUCGAGUUGGAGAGAAGUAUGCGGAAUGCGCGGUGUAGCGGUGAAAUGCAUAGAUAUCGCGCAGAACUCCGAUUGCGAAGGCAGCAUGCCGGCUCCACACUGACGCUGAGGCACGAAAGCGUGGGUAUCGAACAGGAUUAGAUACCCUGGUAGUCCACGCAGUAAACGAUGAAAGCUG
rnacentral:rRNA from 1 species